rnacentral:rRNA from 1 species
AUUGAAUGCUGGCGGCAGGCUUAACACAUGCCAGUCGAGCGAGCGGCGGACGGGUUAGUAAUGUCUGGGAAACUGCAUGAUGGCGGGGGCUAACUACUGGAAACGGUCGCUAAUACCGCAUACCAUCAGAUGUGCCCCGAUGGGAUUAGCUAGUAGGUGGGGUAAUGGCUCACAUAGGCGACGAUCCCUAGCUGGUCUGAGAGGAUGACCAGCCAAACUGGAACUGAGACACGGUACAGACUCCUACGGGAGGCAGCAGUGGGGAAUAUUGCACAAUGGGCGCAAGCCUGAUGCAGCCAUGCCGCGUGUGUGAAGAAGGCCUUCGGGUUGUAAAGCACUUUCAGCGAGGAGGCGUUACUCGCAGAAGAAGCACCGGCUAACGCCGUGCCAGCAGCCGCGGUAAUUC